AAUAAAAAACAUGUUAAUAAUGCAUAUGUACAAAAAAAAUGCCUAUAGCAUUACUAAUGCCAUAUUGCCAUAGUCAAAUCCAUAUCACCCUGACAACAAAUGACUAAAAGCUUGUCCAUUUUUUUCAGUCACAGAUUAUUCAUUAAGCCAGAGAAGCCACAUUCAACAGAGAAAAGUUUAUUAAAACACUUCCAUUAACUGUAAGAGUAAUCAUCCUAUAGGGUGGAAAGUGUCUUCAUUUGGGCUAAAAUGUGAGAUAUACCGUUGCUAUGGUAAUAUGGCGAUGGCUGUAGCCCUCCUCCCAGCUGUUGGUGGGUUUUGUGUUGGAGAGGGUGAGGGUAAAAGAAUGAGAGAGUGUUUGUGUGCCUGCACACAUUCAUUGAUGCUGCCUCCGUGCUGUGCUCCCCUUUUCAGUCUUCAGAAUAGUGUCUCUACUAAUCCGUGAAAGUUGCAGCGCUCUGAACCGGCGGCCAAGGCUUUUCCCACUGAACCGAGGCCUGAGGUCUGUGCUCUGCUUCACACUUGAUUGGUCCCUCCAGUGGCAAAUACUCCCCUCCCUGCUGGGCGUGGGCCUGCCCCCCUCGUUGGGCUGCUCCGCUCUGCCUAAUCGCCUUCUCUCUUCCAUAAUUACCAGUGCUGAGCAGAGGACUCGACAACACGCCAUUAAAGUCUGGCAAACCUGUCCUCCUCACACACCCAGCAUUUAGCAGCAGCCCAGAAACAGGCCCGAGACCGGGCUCAACUCCACCAGCAGAACACCUGUUCAUGCAUGGGAUGCCCGGCAGCGCUGUGGAUUUGGCCGGUGCUGCUGCAGACUUGAAUAAAGACAGGGGGUUGGCAGCUGUGCUGUUGUCCUCCUCCCCCUGCGAUGGAGGUGAUGUGUUUAUUUGGCUUGCAUUGAGAAGUUGUGAGAUGUAACUAUCUACUCACUGCACUCAGCAGACUGCCAGAGAACCUGCAGAAUCAAACCGGCGCACAAUGACAGCAAUCAGCUGUGGAAGACCCCAUAGUUAUUACUCUUUUUAAAAAGUAAAAAAAAAAAUCCCUGCAUUUUGUUUCGUGCUCUGACUCAUUUACACUGUCAACUUAUCUAAAACACAACUUACUGUCUCUUCCAAGACCUAAAUUUCUUCCAAAGUCUGCCAAACUGUAACUAGAACUCCCCCUCCUGCAUUCAUGUUAGUCUCACAAGGUUUCUAAAUUUGCAAAAUCAGGGAGAACAUAUGGGACUGCACAGGUGAAAUGUGGCGACCUGGCAAACAGUCCAAAGACUCGUGAGACUUGGGAGCAUGUCAGAAAAUGCUAGGAGUACUGGCACAAACAGAACCCAGAAUGUGGAUCAGACAGAAACCCAGCACUCGUUAGUUGAUUUCUCUCUUAUUAGGAACAUUUUUAAUGCUUUGCUUGGACUGGCAGAGUCCUGCCAGCCACCCUCUUCAAAUGGCCCAGGCUCUGUCAGAGCUGAUCAAAAGACAUUUCUUCACAUCUCCAGACGCCAGGGAAAAAAGGAGAAGAAAAGAGGGAGAGAAGAAAAGAGCCAGAAGGGGGCAUACUGCUCUCUCUUUACUCGGGUCUUCUGGUGAAUGAGGACUUUUCACAAUACCCUCUCCUUUUUUAUUUAUUUUUUUUCAUUCUACCACUGGUUUAAAAAAAAAAAAAAGGAAAACACAUAGAAGAAAAAAUACAUUCCCCAUCCCGUUUUGCUGAAUUUUUCUUGCUAUAUCAAAAACAAUUAUCCUCAGGUGAAGAAUGCACCUGCACAAUUCCAGAGAGAGAAAGAGGUCUUUACAAAAGUGAGUGGCUUCCAGGCAGCCAAGACCCCCUCGAAGUGGUAAUGAAAAGUGCAACUUUAGCCUCCCAGCUGUAUGUCUCAAUCUAUAAUCCUUUCCCAAAAACCUCACCAUAGAGCCGCCUACCACUCCUAUGGCGUUCCCAGCCUUUGCCGGGCUGGGCCUGCACUGAUUUAUGUGGGACUCCCGUGUCAUACUCCCGACCUGAAAGGAUUUGCUCUCCUAUAUUUACCGGGGUGGUCAGGGCAGCUCUCUGGAAGCACACUCACUCCCCACCUUUUUACUCCUCUGUCUCCGCAGCGUGGAUGUUUGGGACCUGAUCAGAAACAGCUGAGACUCCAGUGUUUUUAUGUGGAACUGUUCUCCCCAGAGGUCAGAGUCCAUGCACUCCUGUCUCACAGCCACAUGGCCGCGUUUUGGUAUGCAGAUACACAGACGCAGGCCGCCUGGCUUCAGUGGCCCACUCAAUGGCUGAUGCCCUUGACAAGUCAAGAAAUGGAUCCUGUCAGCCUCCACAGCAUUUAGCACCACAAUUAUCCCCUUCCACAGCCUGCUGUAAACCACACCAGGCGGCAGUUGCCACUCAGUGAUGAGCAUGAUGUGGCGCACCAUCUCUGGGGAUGGGUCAUCUAAUCUGGGAGAAGUGGCCAUUCUCAAGCGAUCACAACUCGGACCAAAGUGGCCAAGAUUUGCUCCCUGGAUGGGAAAAAUGAGUCACUGCAUAGGUUGUGCGUGCAGGACCCAUCCUCUGGCCUUCACUGACCUUUGGCUCUGACAGUGGCUAAUGGAGGGUUGGCCCGCGAUCAAUGCACUGCGAGACUGGGCUCCCGAAUGUUGCUCUUUCACCGGGCCAGGAUGGGAGCGAUGCUGCCAGAAGCCACGCUGUGGACCCAUCGACCCUGCCACUUUCCCAUCCGUGGGUGACAGCUGCAGCGCCAAGGAGCUUAGGGACGCCACGCUGCCCUGCCACGUACGAAGGACAGCCAGCAAUUCUGUCUCUGUGGCAGCGGGAGGGAAAGUCACAAAUGAUCACUUCUGAAUGUCACAUCUAUGUAAACAUCCUCUGCAUGUGACAGCAGUCAAACCUGUACUAAAGACAAAGCGGGAACUUCCAUUCGUGUUUUUGUCUGAAAACUUUUCUUUGAAGCCACUUAUUUUUCUGAAGUUGCACUCUGUUGCAUGAAACUGAACUACAGUCAAAGUGACAACUGCAUACGACAUUGUGUUAAGCACUUGGACCAGAAGUUUAGAGCCUUUUGUAUGUUAAAAGCAUAUGAACAGAAUCUUACAACUAUCUUUUUUUUAUUCAAAUGUAAAAAGUUGUGUUUAUAGUUGAAGUGUUUAUUUUUUUAUUUAUUAGGAGGGGAGGAGGGCUUCUAUUUGGCAUUCGAUGUGCACUUAAAAUGUUACCGUAGGGAAUAUAUCUUCAUUUUUGCACCAUGUUGCUAGGAUGCCUGAUGUUGUGCAUCAUGUAUUUUGUCACCCAGAUGGUGCACUGCUGUAUACCUUUUAUCUGAGAGCUCUUUGUUUUUUUUUGCUUUUUUUAUCAACACACAAUGCUUGCAUGAAAAUAAAGACAUUUUAUGUGCAUUUUAAUUGCAUGGGCUUUCAAUUGCAACAGCUAUUAAAACAAAAGCAGAUAAAACAAUCAAUCCAUAUGGAGACAAAAAGGAAAACAUCCAAGAGGUUUAGUCCAGAUUGUUCUUUUUAUUAUCAUUAACAGUAAUGUGCUUCCGAAGCCCUCUGUGACCCCCGCACAGCAGCACUUUAUCUCAGAAGUCAUUCAGUGGAACAAACAGGAGGCAGACGGAAAGGCAGCAAGAAA